GCCAGUCUGAGAGGAUGAUUGGCCGCAAUGGAACUGAAAAAAGGUCCAUAGUUUUUAAAUUCAGCAGUACGGAAUAUUGGACAAUGGGCUAAAGCUUGAUCCAGCUAUAUCAUGUAGGGGAAGAAGGCUAUUUUGGUUGUAAACCUUAAGAAUUAGUAUGAAAUAUGAUGUGUACUAAAGAAAAGUCCCGGCUAACCUCGUGCCAGCAGCCGCGGUAAUACGGGGGGGGCUAGCAUUAUUCGGAAUAAUUGGGCGUAAAGUGCUUUAGGGUGGUAUUUUAUAAUUUAAAGUGUAAACUUUUUUUAAUAAAAAAGAAGGCUUUUUUAAUUUUUAUACUCGAGUUUAGGAUAAGUUGGUAGAAUUUCUAGAGUAGGGGUGAAAUCCGUAAAAUUUGGAAGGAAUACCAGAGGCGAAGGCGACUUUCUGGCCUAAGACUGACACUAAAGGGCGAAAGCACGGGAUCAAAAAGGAUUAGAUACCCUUGUAGUCCGUGCAGUCAAAACUGAGUGCUAACUUUUUUGGACUAGUUUUUGAGAGAGUAAAGUUAACACGUUAAGCACUCCGCCGGGGGAAUACGAUCGCAAGAUUAAAACUCAAGGGAAUUGACGGGGGCUCAAACAAGUGGUGGAGCAUGUGGUUUAAUGCGAUAAUCCGCGCAGAACCUUACCAGUUUUUGUAUAAACAAAAAUAAAAAGUAUUUAUAUUUUUUAUUUUAAAAUAUUUUAAAUAUUUAGUUUACAGGUGUUGCAUGGCUGUCGUUAGUUCGUGCUGUGAAGUGUUAGGUUAAGUCCUUAAACGAACGUAACCCCUAUUCUUAAUUAUAAUAUAAGUUAUUUAAGAACACGGUCUUUUAAAAAAGAAGGAAGGAGGGGAUGAUGUCAAGUCCUCACGGCCCUUAUAAACUGGGCUACACACGUGCUACAAUGGUAAAAACAAAGAGUUGCAAAGAUGUAAAUCUAAGCCAAUCUUUAAAUUUUAACGUAGUUCAGAUCAUGGGCUGUAACUCGCCCAUGUGAAGUUGGAAUCACUAGUAAUCGCAAAUUAGAAUCGUUGCGGUGAAUACGUACCAGAGCCUUGCACACACUGCCCGUCACAUUGAGGAAGUCGCUUUUUUUAAAAAUUCUUAAUUAUAUAAAAGCUCAGGAAAUUUUUAUAUAAAGUCUAUUAUAAAGAAGGAGAUGACUUUGAUGAAGUCGUAGCAAGGUAGCGG
rnacentral:rRNA from 1 species